rnacentral:lncRNA from 1 species
CAAGAAGAUAGAUGCUUCUUAAUCAAAAACAGAGAUUCAUUAGGAAGCAAAGUAAUGUAUCCCUUUUUUCUCUCUUUCUUUAUGCUUUUACUGUCUCUCUCGCUCUUGUAAUCAGUUAUUUUUGGAAUUGCGAUCAGGCGAUGAAGCAAAAACGCACAUAAAUUCAAUUCUGUAAAACGGGGAUGAAACUAGUUACGCGAUUGGUUAAAUUACGCAACUUUUGUCAACAGUAUAAAUUAAGUUGAUAAAGUUGUUCAAGGUAUGUCUUGAAGUAGAUGCCACGUCGCCAUUUUAUUAUUUUGUUUUUUAUUACGUGUUUUUGUUUUAUUUUAUGUUUCAUUUAUUUAAUACGAGUGUUUAAUUCUUUUUUUAUUCACACAAAGGAAUAGAUAAGGACUAAGUACUUAAAAUUUUUCGCGUAACAGAUGAAUUUUGUGCAUCUACAUUGCAUCUUGUCUUGAAAGGCAAACCACGCCAGACAACCAUUUUAAAAUUUGCUUUUUUAUGUGUUUUUAUUCAAUUUCAUUAUAUAUUUACUUCAUACAAUAAUUGUUAAAUCGUUAUUUCUCUAUUUUUACAGAUUGAAGAUAAACAAGUGUAGAGAUAGAAGUUCAUUUUGGUGCUGCUGAAAUAACAUACCUGGUCUCUCUUAUGGUGUUUUAUCUGUUAACUUUUCAUCUUGGAGGCUUUUGUAGUUGAUUAAUUAAGAAACGUUUGAAGGACUCCAGAUGCCAUUAAAUUAUAGAGCAUUGGCUGUGUUAGUCGAUAAUUGCUCCAGAACGUAGCCGUACCUAUGGCCCUAAAAAAAGCAUGAAAAUGCCAUUUUUCUAUUGAGAAUGGAGCUGUUGCUGAAAAAAGGAUUUAUGACAAUGAACUGAUGGUUCAUUAAAUGAGAAGGAAUUAAUUUUGGUGCCACUCAAACAAUCGACGCUUUUGAUGUCUUCACCUUGCAACAUUAUGUAGUUAAUUUUGGCCCUGAGAAUGGGAGGUAAUUGGAAAUUAUUUACGUGAGAGCCACUCAAACAACAAAUCAUCCCUUCUAGAUUUCGUUUGCUCAUCAUACUGGUAGACUUUAGAACGCUACUUUCUAUAGUUAAUUAAGAUUGAAGGUGAACAAGUAUGGAGAUUGAAGUUCAUUUUGGUGCUGCUGAAAUAACAUGCCCAGUCCCUCUUAUGGUGUUUUAUCUGUUAACUUUUCAUCUUGGAGGCUUUUGUAGUUGAUUAAUUAAGAUGGUUCAACAAAUGAGAAGGAAUUAAUUUUGGUGCCACUGAAACAAUCGACGCUUUUGAUGUCUUCACCUUGCAACAUCAAGUACUUAAUUUUGGCGUUGUGAAUGGGAGGUAAUUGAGAGCCACUCAAACGACAAAUCAUCUCUUCUAGAUUUGGUUUGCUCAUCAUACUGGUAGAUUUUAUAACGGUACUUUCUACAGUUAAUUAAGAUCGUUCAUCAAUUGAGUUCAGUUUGGUCACACUGAAACAUGAAAUGUUCUAUAUGGGUGUGGUCAUUGGUGGACU